rnacentral:lncRNA from 1 species
GGACAGGCCCCGGCCGCGGAGCCGGGACAGAAAACGUCCAGCGAGGGAGCGCAAGCACAAGUGGAGAAUACAUGCACACACCGUUUGUGCCCUGAACUCCCCUGGCCUAAAAAGCAGGCAGCUAAGUCGCAUUAAGUUUAGAAACCAGGUGUGAAUUACUGUGCGUUUAUCUCGCAUUUGCCACAGGAGAAGAGUACUCCAGGCUGGUUACCAUGGUUCAGCUGAUAGAAGUUGCAGUGUCUAUUCAUUGCUGUCUAAUGGCUUCGGAGAACCACAAAAGCACGCCUGGUCAGCCAAGAAGGUUCGAAGAGCCCGGUCUUCUCUUUUGGCUGCGUGUGAGACAGAAGUAGGCCAGCAAUAGAGGGUUUCUGCUGAUCAGCAGACUGGGAAGA